UCAUAUGCUUGUCUCAAAGAUUAAGCCAUGCAUGUCUGAGUACAUGCCGUAUUAAGGCGAAACCGCGAAUGGCUCAUUAAAUCAGUUAUGGUUCCUUGGAUCGUACUUCACUACUUGGAUAACUGUGGCAAUUCUAGAGCUAAUACAUGCAGCAGAGCUCCGACCUUCGGGGACGAGCGCUUUUAUUAGACCAAAACCGAUCGGGCCUCGUGUCCGUGAAACGUGGUGACUCUGUAUAACUUUGGGCUGAUCGCACGGGCUCGUCCCGGCGACGUAUCUUUCAAGUGUCUGCCUUAUCAACUGUCGAUGGUAGGUUAUGCGCUUACCAUGGUCGUAACGGGUAACGGGGGAUCAGGGUUCGAUUCCGGAGAGGGAGCCUGAGAAACGGCUACCACAUCCAAGGAAGGCAGCAGGCGCGCAAAUUACCCACUCCCGGAACGGGGAGGUAGUGACGAAAAAUAACAAUACGGGACUCUUUUGAGACCCCGUAAUUGGAAUGAGUACACUCUAAAUCCUUUAACGAGGAUCUAUUUGAGGGAAAGUCUGGUGCCAGCAGCUGCGGUAACUCCAGCUCAAAUAGCGUAUAUUAAAGUUGUUGCGGUUAAAAAGCUCGUAGUUGGAUCUCAGUUCGAGACGGGCGGUCCGCCUACCGGUGGUCACUGCCUGUUCUCAACACCGGCCGGUUUCCCUGGAUGAUCUUCACCGGUUGUCUUGGGUGACCGGCAAGUUUACUUUGAAAAAAUUAGAGUGCUCAAAGCAGGCGCGACGCCUGGAUAAUGGUGCAUGGAAUAAUGGAAUAGGACCUCGGUUCUAUUUUGUUGGUUUUCGGAACACGAGGUAAUGAUUAAGA
rnacentral:rRNA from 1 species